rnacentral:rRNA from 1 species
ACGAACGCUGGCGGCAUGGAUUAGGCAUGCAAGUCGAACGGGCUAUAUGCCGCAAGGUGUAUAGCUAGUGGCGAAAGGGUGAGGAACACGUGAGUAACCUGCCCCCAAGUUGGGAACAACCCUUCGAAAGGAGGGCUAAUACCGAAUGUGGACAGGUGGCCGCAUGGCCAUCUGUCUUAAGAUUUAUCGCUUGGGGAGGGGCUCGCGUCCCAUUACGCUUGUUGGCGGGGUAACGGCCCACCAAGGCUAUGACGGGUAGCUGGUCUGAGAGGAUGACCAGCCACACUGGGACUGAGACACUGCCCAGACUCCUACGGGAGGCUGCAGUCGAGAAUCUUCCGCAAUGGGCGAAAGCCUGACGGAGCAAUGCCGCGUGCAGGAUGAAGGCCCUCGGGUUGUAAACUGCUGUCAUCGGGGACGAAUAAAUGACGGUACCCGGAGAGGAAGCAACGGCUAACUACGU